rnacentral:rRNA from 1 species
AGACCGGUUUACCGGUCGUGCUUUUGUACGUACUGGUAUUAUUGGUUUCUCCUUUCUGACGAAUCUUAAUGCCAUUAAUUUGGUGCGUUGGGGAAGCAGGACUGUUACCUUGAAAAAAUUAGAGUGCUUAAAGCAGGCUAGUGCCUGAAUACAUUAGCAUGGAAUAAUGAAAUAGGACGGCAUGGUUCUAUUUUGUUGGUUUCUAGGAUCACCGUA